rnacentral:rRNA from 1 species
GACGAACGCUGGCGGCGUGCUUAACACAUGCAAGUCGAACGGAAAGGCCCUGCUUUUGUGGGGUGCUCGAGUGGCGAACGGGUGAGUAACACGUGAGUAACCUGCCCUUGACUUUGGGAUAACUUCAGGAAACUGGGGCUAAUACCGGAUAGGAGCUCCUGCUGCAUGGUGGGGGUUGGAAAGUUUCGGCGGUUGGGGAUGGACUCGCGGCUUAUCAGCUUGUUGGUGGGGUAGUGGCUUACCAGGGCUUUGACGGGUAGCCGGCAUGAGAGGGUGACCGGCCACAUUGGGACUGAGAUACGGCCCAGACUCCUACGGGAGGCAGCAGUGGGGAAUAUUGCACAAUGGGCGGAAGCCUGAUGCAGCAACGCCGCGUGCGGGAUGACGGCCUUCGGGUUGUAAACCGCUUUCGCCUGUGACGAAGCGUGAGUGACGGUAAUGGGUAAAGAAGCACCGGCUAACUACGUG